UUUAUUUUCUUAAAAAAAAAUGUAAAAACUCAUCCUCAUCUAUUAGAAGCUUCUCAUCCAAUAUUCCCCCAAACCCCAAACCCCAAACUCCCGUGAAAAAUCUCGAAACCCCGAAACCCAGACCACCGAAUUCUGUCUCGCCUGCGCUCCUGCCUCGCCGGCAUCUCCUCAAGCUCGCCGGAGCUUCUCCGUGCUGUUCCCCCCACCCUAACGCGGUGCUGAUGCUCCAAUUCCUUCGCAACUCUCUCUCUCCUCUGUUCUCUUCGUCUUUGCUACUGCUGUUGCCGUGAGUUGUUGCUCGACGAACAGUCGCCGCCUCGCCGGAAUCUUGUCGCGCUGCUGUGGUUCGUGGCCAGUGGUGUUGCCCUUGUUCGUUUUUGUUGCGUUGUUGCUGAUUUCUCUCUUGCCUCUGUUCUUCUUCGCUGCUCUUUGAGCAGAGUUAUGGAGAUGAUUAUGGAGUUUGAGUCUCAUUUGGAGAUGAAGAUUAAUGAAGGAGGUUGUAUUGUUCACAUUUGGAUCGCGUAUGAGGUUUGUAUCAAGAGCUCGAGAAUGGAAGUGAAGCAAGAUUAUGAUGGUGUCGUCCUAGAUUAAGGAUUGAGUUUGUAUACAGAUAGCUGAUUGGAGAAUAGUUAUUUAUGUUUCGUUGUAUAUGAUAUUUGAGAAUAUUAUUGGAGAUAUUGGUGUGUUUAAGGAUAUUUUUCCGCUGCGAAAUAAUUUAUUUAAGAGUUAAUUGUUGGUUAUGGAUACAGAGUGUGUUUCGCUAGCAGCUCGGAAAAGCGGGCUGUUACAAGAUGGUAUCAGAGCUUGAGUAGUUUUUGGACACGCUGUGAUCUCCAUAUCAUAGUGUAAGGGUUGAAAAUAGGUUUAAUGGAUUGACUAAAGAGUUAGGUAUAAAUGAAUCAAGCCGUAUGAGUGUUUGCGCUUAUGCAUGUGCUAUAUGGAUCCAUUCAUAUGAAUAGGUGAUACUUGUUUGUAUACUUGCUAAUGUGUAUAGCAUUAUCUUAUUAUGAUUUGGUUGUCUCUGAUAUUAUUUACUUAAAAAUGUGUAUUUUGAGACAAUUUAUAUGAUUUGCUUUAUUAAAUGAAUUUCAAACGAGAUCUUUGCAAAUGAGAUGAUUGAAAUCCAAUGCCAACAAGUUUGCCCCUUUUGCUCUUUGCUCCUUGAUAUUGCGCGUCAAGUCGAAGUAGAGAUUUUCUUUGCUCCUUGAUUUCGCGAAUCAAGUUGAAGUAGGGAACCAAAAGAUGAUGGUAGAAUGGAGGCUGGACGCCUAAUGUCUUGCGAGCUUAAGAUUUUGGUUUUCUGAAGAAUAAUUAUUUGCAAGUUUCGAGGACGAAACUUUUGAUAAGGGUGGUAGUAUGUAAUAGUCCUGUUUUUAAGAGCUUUUAUUUAAAAGCUAAUUAUAAUUAUUAAGUUAAUUAUGUUUCGGAUACUCUUAUUUUAUUUGAGUUAGAGUUGAAUUAUAUUGACGUGUUGGUUAUUUCUUUAUUUAUUUAAUUGUAUAAGAUUAUUAUUAUUAUUUUAUAUUUUGGGUUUGUGUAAUUAGUUGAGCGGUGUUUCACUAAUUUGAAAAAAAAAAAACCAAAGUCGGUUCGUUCUUACCAUUUCACCCCUUUGCCGGUUUUAUUUUCUUAAAAAAAAAUGUAAAAACUCAUCCUCAUCUAUUAGAAGCUUCUCAUCCAAUAUUCCCCCAAACCCCAAACCCCAAACUCCUGUGAAAAAUCCCGAAACCCCGAAACCCAGACCACCGAAUUCUGUCUCGCCUGCGCUCCUGCCUCGCCGGCAUCUCCUCAAGCUCGCCGGAGCUUUGCCGUGCUGUUCCCCCCCCCCUAACGCGGUGCUGAUGCUCUAAUUCCUUCGCAACUCUCUCUCUCCUCUGUUCUCUUCGUCUUUGCUACUGCUGUUGCCGUGAGUUGUUGCUCGACGAAUAGUCGCCGCCUCGCCGGAAUCUUGUCGCGCUGCUGUGGUUCGUGGCCAGUGGUGUUACCCUUGUUCGUUUUUGUUGCGUUGUUGUUGAUUUCUCUCUUGCCUCUGUUCUUCUUCGCUGCUCUUUGAGCAGAGGUACUAAACCCUCAUCUCUUUGUCCUUGUAACUGUUGUUUCAAUUUUGAUAAAACUUACAAAUGAAUUGUGGUUUGUAGUUUCACUACUAUGUUGAUUAUGAAUUUGUUUAGUGGUUGAUUAUGUGAAUAGUUACGUUGAACCAUUGUUCUUUGUUUAAAUUAGAAAGCCAAUGAUGUUAUUGAUAUGUUGUUGUUAUUGUGGCUAAAGUGUUGUUGUUGUUGUUGUUGUUGUUGUUGUUGCUGUGUUAUAGUGUUGGGUUGUUGUAGUUAUGAUGUUGUUGUUGCUACUGUCAUUUUAUGGUGGUGCAAUGUUGUUGUUGUUAGAGUUAUCACAGUCUCAUAAAUUUACAAAUUAGUUUUGUAGUUGAUUGCUAAUUUCAGUUAGUAUUUCCAAGAUUUCAUAAAAGAGUUUUGGGUUAUAAAUUCUUAAAUGAAUUUAGUAUAAUAUUGUUAGUAAUAGUAAUAUGUUUGAUGUGUGAAUUUGCUAAAUUAAUUUCUCAUUUGUUUAAUUUAUCUUGUUAGCUAAGUUGAGUUGGUUUAGUUCAAUAAGUUAGUUUUAUAAUUUAAAGAUAUGUAGAAUUAGUUUAUAGAAUUUAGGAUUAAGAGUUUGGAAGUAUGGUUGUAAAGGAUCUUCAAAUUAGGAAUUGGUUAUGGUUUCACUUUGUAGUUAAGAUUGAUUAUUGAUCUUCGUUAUUACUGUGAGGUUGUUAUGGAGAUGAUUAUGGAGUUUGAGUCUCAUUUGGAGAUUAAGAUUAAUGAAGGAGGUUGUAUUGUUCACAUUUGGAUCGCGUAUGAGGUUUGUAUCAAGAGCUCGAGAAUGGAAGUGAAGCAAGAUUAUGAUGGUGUCGUCCUAGAUUAAGGAUUGAGUUUGUAUAUAGAUAGCUGAUUGGAGAAUAGUUAUUUAUGUUUCGUUGUAUAUGAUAUUUGAGAAUAUUAUUGGA